GCCCAGAUAGCUCAGUUGGUAGAGCAACGCAUUCGUAAUGCGUAGGUCAGGGGUUCAACUCCCCUUCUGGGCUCCA
rnacentral:tRNA from 1 species